rnacentral:lncRNA from 1 species
AGGAGGGAGACCGAGGGAUCGACCGAGACCCGAGAGCUGGAGAAGGGAGAGGACACCAGAGCGAGAGUCAGGGACGACACCGAGAAACGCAGUCGCGCAGGGAGGGGGCCGUGUAUAUAUAGAAAGAGAACGCGAUGCGGUAACACCUAGCCACCGAGACCGUGGGAGCCUCGCAGCCCACGGAGAGCGGGGGAGUCCCACUUUCUCUGCCGAGCGGCCCCCGCCCCGCCUGGGCGCAAACAGCCGUCCGGGCUCGGCUGGGAUCGUAAGGUGUCCUGUGCCCUGGACCCCGGAGCGUCGGUGCCAGAGCUGGGCUCCCGCCCGCCCCGCGCCUCCCGGGUUCGCGCUUCUCUUCUCCUUCAGAUGGGACUGGCUCCCUCUCUUUGCAAAGCCAGGCCGGCGGGGAGAUGUGAGCAGUAGCUAGCAGCUGGUGUGCCCUGGACGUCGCUGACCGCGGCGCGCCCAGAUCGUGUGUGUGUGUCUGUCCACAUGAGUGGCUCUCCCAGCAGACCCAGGUAAGAACUUCCUGACCUUCUUGGGAGAAACACACCUGGAUAUAUGGCCG